rnacentral:rRNA from 1 species
GAGUUUGAUCAUGGCUCAGAGUGAACGCUGGCGGUAGGCCUAACACAUGCAAGUCGAACGGCAGCACAGUAAGAGCUUGCUCUUAUGGGUGGCGAGUGGCGGACGGGUGAGGAAUACAUCGGAAUCUACCUUUUCGUGGGGGAUAACGUAGGGAAACUUACGCUAAUACCGCAUACGACCUUCGGGUGAAAGCAGGGGACCUUCGGGCCUUGCGCGGAUAGAUGAGCCGAUGUCGGAUUAGCUAGUUGGCGGGGUAAAGGCCCACCAAGGCGACGAUCCGUAGCUGGUCUGAGAGGAUGAUCAGCCACACUGGAACUGAGACACGGUCCAGACUCCUACGGGAGGCAGCAGUGGGGAAUAUUGGACAAUGGGCGUAAGCCUGAUCCAGCCAUACCGCGUGGGUGAAGAAGGCCUUCGGGUUGUAAAGCCCUUUUGUUGGGAAAGAAAAGCAGUCGAUUAAUACUCGGUUGUUCUGACGGUACCCAAAGAAUAAGCACCGGCUAACUUCGUGCCAGCAGCCGCGGUAC